ensembl:lncRNA
CCCUGGUGUUGGAGAACAUAAACCAGGCUCAAAUUGCUUAUGGAAUAAACAAAGAAGAACUGGGAGAGUAAUCCUUCAGCUAUUGUUAUUUAGAGAGGAACUGGAAUCACACUUGCUUGCAAACAGAUGAGAAGGCAGGUCACUUUCCUGAAGGUAGAGCCUGUAUAGAACACGUACAGAGGAGAGAGAUGUCAGGAGUGAAUUGACAAAAAAGGCUUUCUGCAUAUCCUGCUGCUCUGCCUAGGAGGUAAAGAGGAAUAAUCUUCUUGCAAACCACAGGAAGCAGAAAUGAAUGAUCACAGAAUUCCAGAAUUGCAGAAGUUGGAAGGGACCUCAAGAAAUCAUUGAUUGCAACCCUCCCUAAAUCAGGUACCCUACAAUAGGUUGCACAGGCACGCUUUAAGUACUGAAGUACUGAAGUCCAUGUCAGGUUUCCCCAGAGCCUUCUCUUCUCCAGAAUGAAGAAACACAACUCUCUCAGCUUGUCUUCACAGGAGAGGUGCUCCAGCCCUCUGAUCAUCUUUGUGGCCUCCUCUGGACAUCUGAGGUUCUUAAUCAUCCACAGUAUGGAGGUUUCCCAUGACCUUGACGAUAAUUCGUUACGAAAUUUUAUUCUGCUUCAGUUAUAGUCUGGGGUAUUAGUUAAAAGACAAAUGUCAUUAGAAUAAAUAUUUUCAGGGUGAUUGUGAGGUGAGAAUAAAGAUAUUUCCAAAUGAACAAUACCACAUGAAACAAACAGAAACUCUAUUUAGUUAUGGAGAAAAGGGACUUCUAACACAUUUGUGACAUAAUUAACUUAAUGGAAUCUCCAUUGCUUGGAGAGAUUUCAAACCACGUUUACCAGAAUAAUCUCAGACUGUAGCGCAAAGCUAACAAGUGACAGACAAUAUUAUGUGGAUUUUUUUACCUCUGUCUCCAUUUCUAAGGAGUAUGCAGUAAGUAAGACACAGUGCCUCCAUUUUCAAAACACCAUGGGGAAAAGAGGAAAGGUCUAUAUUUUUGUCUUCUUACUCCCAUGAGAGUCCUUGAGGCAUCAGCAGAGAAAAGUAGAGUAAGUAGUGCCUAAUUCAUUUGUUUAUAAACAUACUGUGAGUUUGGCAAUUAUUCUACAUAUUUAAGUGCCUCCUAAUUGCAGACACAGUAGCAUGUUUCAGCAAAUCAAAAUAAUUUAGCAAUGCAUAUUAAAAAUUUGACUUUGACCUCAGAUCCCUCUCUAUCCUCAAAAAAAAAAAAAAAAAAAAAAAAAGAAUUGUUAUAAAAUCUUCAGGAACAUGAUUUUUCUGCUUAGUAAGAUCCAUUUCAGUGAUGGUUCAAAAAGCAGAGGACUAAUAAUAGUAUUGUAGUACUCUGUAGUUCACUGGUUUGGCCUUCCAUCGCCUGGUUUAUCUACCCUAAGACCAAAUUAUUAUCCUAUAAUAAAAUGAAAAGCUGCUAUUAUUGCUUAAUGUAAGUACACUUAAAAUUAUUAUUAGUAGUGUGCUUGGUAAGGUUAAAUCACAAGGUCUUUGAUGCUAACUUCAAAAAUUACAUCUCCGAUUUAACUAGAAUAAAUGAGAUGGUUGCUUCUCUCUAAUUAGAGCCAAAAAUGUAUCUAUAGUACAUGGCAAUUUUCUGUCACUUAGCAGUAUAUUACAGCAACAUUUAUUACAUUCAUUAUAUUAUAAUUACAAUUCUCUUACAUUUACUUAGGAUCCAGUUCUCAGAAACCUAAGAAGAAAAGAAUCUUUUUUUUAAUUUUUAUUUUAUUUUUUUAACCAAAAGGAAGCCUGUGUAUCAAACUGAAGGUAAAGUUCCUUGCUCCAUGUAUGGAAUUACCAUGUUGCCACCUGUAGCUACACAUACAUUCACUGACCACUUUCAGGGGCAUGGUUUGCAAGCACAAAGCUGCAGGUGUUUUUUUUUUUUUUUAAAGAUCAGUUCUUUUUGGUUCAUCCCUGAAUUUUUGGGCUUUUACUGCAGCAGUGUAUUUCUUUAAUCUUUUUAGACAGAAAAUGAUGAGCACUAGCUGAUGACCAACAAAUAGAAAGGGAACUCCAUCUGGUUUUAUUCUUGCAGAGAGCCAAAG